rnacentral:tRNA from 2 species
AGCGCUAUCGCCAAACGGUAAGGCACUGGACUCUGACUCCAGCAUUUUCCAGGUUCGAAUCCUGGUAGCGCUGCUA